rnacentral:rRNA from 1 species
AGCUCCACUAGCGUAUGCUAAAGUUGCUGCAGUUAAAAAGCUCGUAGUUGAACCUUGGGCGGAGGGCGUGUGGUGCAAGAUGAUUGCUACUGCAUGCUCCCGCCUCUCUGGGACGAUGCACCUCACGGUGCUUCACUCCCGUGUUACUGUGAAGAAAUUAGAGUGUUUAAAGCAGGCAGUCGCUUGAAUACAUCAGCAUGGAAUAACAGGAUAGGACUCGGUCGAUCUUGUUGGUUUGGGGAUGCGAGUAAUGAUUGAUAGGAACAGUUGGGGGCAUUGGUAUUUAGCAGUCAGAGGUGAAAUUCUUGGAUUUGCUAAAGACUAACUAGUGCGAAAGCAUUUGCCAAGGAUGUUUUCA